rnacentral:sRNA from 1 species
CAACAAACCCGAUUGAAGCGGAAAUACUUUUGUAGGAGAAAAACCUUAUAGGUUUCCUUUGCUCAAUGUCAAUUUAAACCUAUAAGGUUUGUGAUGGAAACAAAAGAUUGUAGCGGAAAGCGGGGCAACAG